rnacentral:rRNA from 1 species
UACAGAGGGUGCGAGCGUUGUUCGGAAUUAUUGGGCGUAAAGCGCUUGUAGGCGGCACGUCAAGUCGGCGUGUGAAAUCCCCAGGCUUAACCUGGGAAGUGCGCGCGAAACUGACGAGCUUGAGUGCCGGAGAGGGUCGCGGAAUUCCCGGUGUAGAGGUGAAAUUCGUAGAUAUCGGGAGGAACACCAGUGGCGAAGGCGGCGACCUGGACGGACACUGACGCUGAGACGCGAAAGCGUGGGGAGCAAACAGG